rnacentral:lncRNA from 1 species
GGUUCCUAAUGAGGCAACCCAAAAGGAGUAUUUUAGGGACUUCAAUUCUGGCGCCAGUCUUUCUGAGCUUGCUUUCCGCAGUCCUGACAGCUAAUUUCCCCAUCACUACUCCUCAUUGUUACAAACGCUGAUCUCGAAGGCUCAUCUGAGGAGAUGUUCAGGCCACCUCCUCCGCCGCGAUGGCUGCUGCUGGGGCCAAAGUCUAAUCCUCCUCCGGCUGAUGGAUAAAAAUCUUGUAGCGACGGAUUGUGGUGGCGAAAAUGAUGGUGUUCUGGUUGAUUGUGUGGCUAGUGGUAUUGGUGCUGCAGUUGGGGAUGCCAUAUCUCGAAGCCCUUGUAUUCAUCACUUCUGUAGAGGAACCAGUUCUCCGGGCUGAUUUUGGUGGGCUAAUGCUGUUGGUUGUUGGUGGUGGUAUUGUUAUGACUGCUGCUUCCUCUACUACUUCCACCACCACCUAGCGAAAAAAAGCCAGCCAUUUUGCCACCUUUAUUCCUCUCGCAGACCUCAAUCGUGGCUAACAAUUCAUAGCAGAAAGCCAAUGG